AGAGUUUGAUCUUGGCUCAGAAUGAACGUUGGCGGCAUGGAUUAGGCAUGCAAGUCGCGCGAUAUCUUGGGAGCUUGCUCCUGAGUGAAAGCGGCGAAAGGGAGAGUAACAGGUAGUUUAUCUACCCUCGGGUUCGGGAUAGCGUCGGGAAACUGGCGGUAAUACCGAAUAACAUCUACGGAUCAAAGUUCCGGCGCCCGGGGAUGAGACUGCUUACUAUUAGCUUGUUGGCGGGGUAAUGGCCCACCAAGGCUACGAUGGUUAGCGGGCGUGAGAGCGUGGCCCGUCUCACUGGGACUGAGAUACUGCCCAGACACCUACGGGUGGCUGCAGUCGAGAAUCUUCGGCAAUGGGCGCAAGCCUGACCGAGCGAUGCCGCGUGCGGGAUUAAGGCCUUCGGGUUGUAAACCGCUGUCAGAGGGGAAGAAAUUUUGACUGAUCCUCAGAGGAAGGACGGGCUAAGUUCGUGCCAGCAGCCGCGGUAAGACGAACCGUCCGAACGUUAUUCGGAAUUACUGGGCUUAAAGGGUGCGUAGGCGGCCCUACAAGUCAGGUGUGAAAUCCCACGGCUCAACCGUGGAACUGCGCUUGAAACUGUAGGGCUUGAGGGAGAUAGGGGUGAGCGGAACUGAUGGUGGAGCGGUGAAAUGCGUUGAUAUCAUCAGGAACACCGGCGGCGAAGGCGGCUCACUGGGUCUCUACUGACGCUGAGGCACGAAAGCUAGGGGAGCGAACGGGAUUAGAUACCCCGGUAGUCCUAGCUGUAAACGUUGAGCACUGGAUCGAGGGGACUCCCACAUCUUCUCGGUCGUAGCGAAAGUGUUAAGUGCUCCGCCUGGGGAGUAUGGUCGCAAGGCUGAAACUCAAAGAAAUUGACGGGGGCUCACACAAGCGGUGGAGGAUGUGGCUUAAUUUCGAGGCUACGCGAAGAACCUUAUCCUAGUCUUGACAUGCUUAGA
rnacentral:rRNA from 1 species